AGUAUAAAGCACCUUGAGGCGACUGUUGUUGUGAUUUGGUGCUGUAUAAAUAAAACUGGAUUGAACUGAAUGUUUCUUGCUAAUAUUGAUUAUAACUCAGCUUGUAGAUUUCAUGGUCCUGAGUCUGACGACUCAGUGUUUUGUGUUUCCUCAUGUUGUUCUAUGUUCUUGUUUAUUCUGAUUAUGUCUUUCGGUAAGGUUUGCCAUUUGUUAGGUCUCUGUUCUGUGCCUGCCUGCUCCCACUUCUGUGUCCCCUCUGUCUGUCCAUGGUGUCACAGUGUCUGCUCGUGAAUCUGUCUGUUACGUUCAGUGUCUUGUCUGGUUCUGUGUCUGUGAGUUUCCUGUUUUAUUCUGAAGGUCUCUGUCUCAUGUGAGUGUUCUCAGCUUUACGUCUGUGUCUCGUCAGCCCUGAUUUCUCUCAGGUGUGUUCCCCUCCUGUCUCCCAUCCCAUGAUUACUCCUGUGAGUAUUUAAGCCCUGUGUGUUCUCCUGCUUGUUGCUGGUUUGUCUGUGUUGCUUCCCUGAGUCUCCCUGCGGCUCUGGUCUGGUUUCAGGCCGGCUUUCUUCUUGUUUCUUCACCAGGCUUCUUGAAGGACAGUCGAAAGAUCUUCUUUGAUUGAGGUUCAAGCUCUGGGGAGACUACCAGGACCUGGAUGAACCAACACAGACAUGGUGCAACAUCAGCUGCAUACAAAGAGUCUUCCAUUUGAUUUGUGAACAUCCAUUUUUGUUGUUGUUGCAGUAAAACUCAGUAAACGUGUUGUUUUGUUGCAAUACUGACACCAUUUACAAUGUUAUGACAGUGAAGAGCAGGAUGCUGAGGUUGUAAUAAUCAUCUUGUUCCUCACAUAACCUGCUUUUUUUUAGUCUGGUCCAACUGUUAAAUUAGAGCCAGAUCAUUAAAUAAAUAAUAUUUGAUUUAAAUCUAUAUGAUGCUUUUACUAAGAAACAUACUCAUGCAUAGGCAACACGUUCUCACUCCAAAAGCGUACCAUAUGAUUCCAUGUGACAAAUCGUCAGUGUUACACUUUCAGUCCCCAAACACGUUCCUAUGUUAUGCGUUUGAAACAUGAGAACCAUUUGGAUUGAAUCUACACAUGUGCAUUUAUUUUACUUUUUCAUCAUGAAUCGCUUUGGAAAACACACAAGGUUAGGCAUAAGGUUAGGGCUGGAAUACACAACUGGAACUUGUGUUACCGCCGGCAGCGUCCUUCUGUUGGAUUCCAUCCACAAUCGGGUGCGUAUCGUGGGGACGCGGAAGGUUACCUUUAGCUUUCCCAUGGAACGCCUCGGGUGUGACAAAUCGUUGGCAUGCUGGCAUAAAGUCUUUAUUAGAUAACUGUUUGAAAUCAUUUUUCUUCAGCUUGUCUCUGUCAGUGCACAUGCUGCCUCUUUUGGAUUCAUUUCAAACAUAAUCUUCAGUAUUGUUUAAAUAUUGUAGAUAUGAAUCAGUUUAAAUACAUGUAACCAACUUUCCGCCUGACAUGUUUUGUGUACUUGUGUACUUGCUUUCUUUGACUCCAGCCAUCCAUGACAGCGAGUCUGCUGCAGCUGUUGCAUGUGUGCAAAGAGUUAAACGUGUGUGUGCAGUAUGAGAAACCAGUGGGAACACUGCCAGUUUCAGUCCUCCUCCAGGGCAGAAACUGUGGAAUGUGUUUGAGGAGCACCACUGAGGUUUCUCUAAUCACUUUUAUUGUUCCGCUGAUCCUGAUCCACCAGGCUCACAAGGUCGACUGUUGUUCUUCGUACAUCUGCUCUUUAAAUAGAUUUAUCUGGCUCCAGGAUUUUCCCUCCCACAAAUGAUAUUUCAUCGUUCUCUGCUUUCUCCCUUACGCACGACACAAACGACUGGGAGUUGCUGACAGUGGCCAGUUGCCACCUAACAGCUCUGAACAUGCAGGACAUGAGUGCAGAGUGAUGCUGCAGAGUAGAGCACAGUAACAACAGAGCAGGGAGUCGAGUUGUUUCUGCACUUUCAAUCUCUCAGCAAGAACUUAAACAUUCGUGACUGUAGAGUGGCAGUUUUUCAAAGAAAUAUAAUAUUUUAAAAAAUAACACAGUAGCACAUGGAUCAAGAUUAUUAUGAGCCCGUCACAGAGGAGUAAAAAUAGGAUGGAAACCGGUGUGUGGCUAGGAAAGUCAGUGUUCAACCUCUAGGCAACCACUUUUAGUCACAAGGUAGUUGCACAGUUUGCCUGGUAGAAGGCAACAUGUCUCUAAACAGUUGCGUCGUGGCUUGGUGCUGCGGUGCACUCACUCAGAUUUCUAAAUGCAGACAGCAAGUUGACAUCAGUCUGAGUCAAAGCGUGUUACCUUUUCAUACCAACCCCAGCAGUGUUCCUCAGGUGUAUCAUGAUUUCAUGUAAAACCCACAACGUCUUCUUUAUUUUAUUACCUUUAAUGCUGUGGACUGUGACUAUAAGCCUGUCAUUAGUAUGUGUGUAAUGUAACAUAACACAUGGUCUACAAUAUUCAUUGACAUAUUAAUCGUUUGCAUAAAUGCUGAGACUAAGACUACAUGUGUAAAUGGAACAUUUUUAGACUGAAAGAAACAUGUCAUG